rnacentral:piRNA from 1 species
UCUCUUCAGCCCUGAUGCCUCUUCCAG